rnacentral:rRNA from 1 species
CCUACGGGUGGCAGCAGUCGAGAAUCAUUCACAAUGGGGGAAACCCUGAUGGUGCGACGCCGCGUGGGGGAAUGAAGGUCUUCGGAUUGUAAACCCCUGUCAUGUGGGAGCAAAUUAAAAAGAUAGUACCACAAGAGGAAGAGACGGCUAACUCUGUGCCAGCAGCCGCGGUAAUACAGAGGUCUCAAGCGUUGUUCGGAACCACUGGGCGUAAGGCGUGCGUAGGCUGUUUCGUAAGUCGUGUGUGAAAGGCGCGGGCUCAACCCGCGGACGGCACAUGAUACUGCGAGACUAGAGUAAUGGAGGGGGAACCGGAAUUCUCGGUGUAGCAGUGAAAUGCGUAGAUAUCGAGAGGAACACUCGUGGCGAAGGCGGGUUCCUGGACAUUAACUGACGCUGAGGCACGAAGGCCAGGGGAGCGAAAGGGAUUAGAUACCCCGGUAGUC